rnacentral:rRNA from 1 species
CACUGGUCGAGUCGGCCUGCGCGGAAGAUGUAACGGGGCUAAACCAUGCACCGAAGCUGCGGCAGCGACAUGAAGAUGUUGUUGGGUAGGGGAGCGUUCUGUAAGCCGUAGAAGGUGGAGCUGUGAGGCCUGCUGGAGGUAUCAGAAGUGCGAAUGCUGACAUAAGUAACGAUAAAGCGGGUGAAAAACCCGCUCGCCGGAAGACCAAGGGUUCCUGUCCAACGUUAAUCGGGGCAGGGUGAGUCGACCCCUAAGGUGAGGCUGAAAAGCGUAGCUGAUGGGAAACAGGUUAAUAUUCCUGUACUGGAUAUGACUGCGAAGGGGGGACGGAGAAGGCUAGGCCAUCCGGGCGACGGUCGUCCCGGUUUAAGCGUGUAGGUGUGAGGAGCAGGCAAAUCCGCUCUUCUUUAACACUGAGGCGUGAUGACGAGCCGCUAAGGCGGUGAAGUGGUUGAUGCCCGGCUUCCAGGAAAAGCCUCUAAGCGUCAGGUCAUAUUGAAUCGUACCCGAAACCGACACAGGUGGUCAGGUAGAGAAUACUGAGGCGCUUGAGAGAACUCGGGUGAAGGAACUAGGCAAAAUGGUGCCGUAACUUCGGGAGAAGGCACGCUGGCGUUAGGUGAAGGAGUAGACCUCUGGAGCUGAAGCCAGUCGCAGAGACCAGCUGGCUGCAACUGUUUAUUAAAAACACAGCACUGUGCAAACACGUAAGUGGACGUAUACGGUGUGACGCCUGCCCGGUGCUGGAAGGUUAAUUGAUGGGG